rnacentral:rRNA from 1 species
CCUUGAGACGGGGAUAACCCCGGGAAACUGGGUAUAAUACCCGAUAGAUCUCGAUUGCUGGAAUGCAUCGAGAUUGAAAGCUCCGGCGCCUAAGGAUGGGUCUGCGGCCUAUCAGGUAGUAGUGGGUGUAGCGUACCUACUAGCCUACGACGGGUACGGGUUGUGAGAGCAAGAGCCCGGAGAUGGAUUCUGAGACACGAAUCCAGGCCCUACGGGGUGCAGCAGGCGCGAAAACUUUACAAUGCUGGCAACGGCGAUAAGGGGACCUCGAGUGCCAGGUUACAAAUCUGGCUGUCGUGAUGCCUAAAAAGCAUUGCAUAGCAAGGGCCGGGCAAGACCGGUGCCAGCCGCCGCGGUAACACCGGCGGCUCGAGUGGUAACCGUUAUUAUUGGGUCUAAAGGGUCUGUAGCCGGCCGGAUAAGCCUCUUGGGAAAUCCAGCAGCUCAACUGUUGGGCUUUCAGGAGAUACUGUCUGGCUCGAGGCCGGGAGAGGUGAGAGGUACUUCAGGGGUAGGGGUGAAAUCUUGUAAUCCUUGAAGGACCACCAGUGGCGAAGGCGUCUCACCAGAACGGACCUGACGGCAAGGGACGAAAGCUAGGGGCACGAACCGGAUUAGAUACCCGGGUAGUCCUAGCCGUAAACGAUACUCGCUAGGUGUCGGCCACGGUGCGACCGUUGUCGGUGCCGUAGGGAAGCCGUGAAGCGAGCCACCUGGGAAGUACGGCCGCAAGGCUGAAACUUAA